rnacentral:rRNA from 1 species
CCUACGGGUGGCAGCAGUGAGGAAUAUUGGUCAAUGGCCGGAAGGCUGAACCAGCCACGCCGCGUGAAGGACGAAGGUGCCAAGCAUUGUAAACUUCUUUUGUCAAGGGACAAACUCAGGCUCGAGAGCCUGAACGAGGGUGCUUGAAGAAAACGCAUCGGCUAACUCCGUGCCAGCCGCCGCGGUAAUACGGAGGAUGCGAGCGUUAUCCGGAUUUAUUGGGUUUAAAGGGUCGGUAGGCGGACUGUUAAGUCCGCGGUAAAAGCCCGGGGCUCAACCCCGGCGAGCCGUUGAAACUGGCGGGCUUGAGAUGGCGAGAGGUAAGCGGAAUGCGCAGUGUAGCGGUGAAAUGCGUAGAUAUUGCGAAGAACUCCGAUGGCGAAGGCAGCAUACUGGCGGCUAUCUGACGCUGAGGCACGAAAGCGUGGGUAUCGAACAGGAUUAGAUACCCCAGUAGUC